AGCAUGAAGUUCUUUCCCACUGGCAGAGCAGGCUCUGUGCUAGAGCUCAUGCAUAGAGAGCAGAACACAUUCUUCCCUUCUGCAUACUGCUGUUGGCACAGUCAUUGUUGCUACUGCUGAAAGCUGAGGAAGGCAGAUGACAGCUUUCAAUCCCUGAUGGGCGAGAGAAGAGGGGAGGCCUUCUUCCAUUUUCCUAGAAAUAAAGUGAAGCAUUCUUCAUAUCUACUUUCCAGGCACAAAGACUCACAUCUUACCAAAGAUUCAAGUCUCUCAUUCUUGUUCCUCAAUAGUUAGGGCAAUAGCUUUCAGCACAGGCAAGUUUGUGUCUUACUAAAUCUGUCUUUUCAUUCUCUUCAAAGUAAAAGUCCCUUCCUUAGAAAAUGUUCAUCUCAUACCUUGUGUAAUCAUUAGAGACUAUAGACAUGUUUCUUGAACCACUAUGCAUUUAAGUUUCUAGAAAAAUGAGCCUGCAGCCACAGAAUUUUUAAGAGAAAUAAAUGUGACAACCUAAUUUCCUUUUUCCCCCUGAAAAUCUAUUUAGUAGAUUUAGCAGGUGAGACAUGUGUAGUUCAG
rnacentral:lncRNA from 10 species